ACACGAGUUCAGCGGCUCCUCGUGCCAAGCGGCCGCGGAAAGCUCAGCCUGGAAAACAGAAGGCGAGACCAAGUGGGGAUCUGCUGGGAACCUCGCUCGGGUGCAUUCCCCGCAGUCGAAGCGCGGAAUGGGUUUAGGAUCGGGAAGGUCCGCAGAGGGAAGCGUCUCCCCGGGUUGGAGACCGGGCCGAACGCAGGCUCGCAAGCCCUCUGCCCCGGGCCGGGAACCUCCCUUCCGCCGAGCCCGGCAGAAGAGGCCAAGGCCGCCGCAAGCGCGCUGUGCCUGCAAACAUACCCUGUGUCUCAAUGCGGCCGCAUCAACCAUUUCUGGACACCGACGACGACGGUGCCCAUUGCCAUCAACGCCUCUGAUGAUUCUCUGUCCCUCGGUGACCAGGGCACCCCCGGAGAGCCCCCCCCCCCCCCCCCCCCCCCAGCACCCGGCUGCCUGUGAUUACCCCCACCCCCGACCCUCCCGCUUCCUGCCCGCAGCGACCCUGAGAUCGCGGCCGCCUCUGACCCACCCCGCGCGCGCCCUUCGCCGACCCCCCGGGGCCUCCGGGCGCGCUCACCUAAACCCUCACCCCGUCCGGUCCGCGCGCGCGCGCGCAGGGCUUCCGCAAGGAGCUGUGUUUUCAAACGCCUCCCCCACUGCUCCUCCCAGCUUGCAAUCGAGGCCUGUCUUGGCCUCGCCGGUGUUCCCCGUUGUUGGGGGUGGGGGCGCAGGCACCCCGGGGGCCGGGCCCAGGAGAGCCCCCUCGGGAGGGAGACCCGUCCGCGCGCCCGCCGCCGGGCUCCCCUUCUCCGCAAGGAGCCCGGCAGAAGAGGCCAAGGCCGCCGCAAGCGCGCUGUGCCUGCAAACAUACCCUGUGUCUCAAUGCGGCCGCAUCAACCAUUUCUGGACACCUACGACGACGGUGCCCAUUGCCAUCAACGCCUCUGAUGAUUCUCUGUCCCUCGGUGACCAGGGCACCCCCGGAGAGGCCCCCCCCCCCGCAGCAGCAGCGGGUGGGAAGAUGCAUUCUCUCCUUGGCCGCCCUGCAGGAGCAGGGCCUCGGAUUCCUGGGCCAGACUCCCAGACUCCCCAAGCCGGGCCUCGGCCUCCCCGCUCCCUCCCAUCUCCUGGGAAAACCCUUCUGGCUUUUCCCCUUCCCCAGAUUCCCGAGGAUAAAUCCCACCCCCCGCCCCCAAGGGGGACCAGCCGCCCCCAGCCACAAGAGGGGCUCUGA
rnacentral:lncRNA from 1 species